AGCCCAGAGCCUGAAUCAGUGUGUGUGUUAGUGGAAGCGUCUGGAAAGGCGUGCGAUACAGGGUGACAGCCCCGUACACAAAAAUGCACAUACUGUGAGCUCGAUGAGUAGGGCGGGACACGUGGUAUCCUGUCUGAAUAUGGGGGGACCAUCCUCCAAGGCUAAAUACUCCUGACUGACCGAUAGUGAACCAGUACCGUGAGGGAAAGGCGAAAAGAACCCCGGCGAGGGGAGUGAAAAAGAACCUGAAACCGUGUACGUACAAGCAGUGGGAGCACGCUUAGGCGUGUGACUGCGUACCUUUUGUAUAAUGGGUCAGCGACUUAUAUUCUGUAGCAAGGUUAACCGAAUAGGGGAGCCGAAGGGAAACCGAGUCUUAACUGGGCGUUAAGUUGCAGGGUAUAGACCCGAAACCCGGUGAUCUAGCCAUGGGCAGGUUGAAGGUUGGGUAACACUAACUGGAGGACCGAACCGACUAAUGUUGAAAAAUUAGCGGAUGACUUGUGGCUGGGGGUGAAAGGCCAAUCAAACCGGGAGAUAGCUGGUUCUCCCCGAAAGCUAUUUAGGUAGCGCCUCGUGAAUUCAUCUCCGGGGGUAGAGCACUGUUUCGGCAAGGGGGUCAUCCCGACUUACCAACCCGAUGCAAACUGCGAAUACCGGAGAAUGUUAUCACGGGAGACACACGGCGGGUGCUAACGUCCGUCGUGAAGAGGGAAACAACCCAGACCGCCAGCUAAGGUCCCAAAGUCAUGGUUAAGUGGGAAACGAUGUGGGAAGGCCCAGACAGCCAGGAUGUUGGCUUAGAAGCAGCCAUCAUUUAAAGAAAGCGUAAUAGCUCACUGGUCGAGUCGGCCUGCGCGGAAGAUGUAACGGGGCUAAACCAUG
rnacentral:rRNA from 1 species